rnacentral:rRNA from 1 species
GCUCAACCGGGGAGGGUCAUUGGAAACUGGGGAACUUGAGUGCAGAAGAGGAGAGUGGAAUUCCACGUGUAGCGGUGAAAUGCGUAGAGAUGUGGAGGAACACCAGUGGCGAAGGCGACUCUCUGGUCUGUAACUGACGCUGAGGCGCGAAAGCGUGGGGAGCGAACAGGAUUAGAUACCCUGGUAGUCCACGCCGUAAACGAUGAGUGCUAAGUGUUAGAGGGUUUCCGCCCUUUAGUGCUGCAGCAAACGCAUUAAGCACUCCGCCUGGGGAGUACGGUCGCAAGACUGAAACUCAAAGGAAUUGACGGGGGCCCGCACAAGCGGUGGAGCAUGUGGUUUAAUUCGAAGCAACGCGAAGAACCUUACCAGGUCUUGACAUCCUCUGACAACCCUAGAGAUAGGGCUUCCCCUUCGGGGGGCAGAGUGACAGGUGGUGCAUGGUUGUCGUCAGCUCGUGUCGUGAGAUGUUGGGUUAAGUCCCGCAACGAGCGCAACCCUUGAUCUUAGUUGCCAGCAUUCAGUUGGGCACUCUAAGGUGACUGCCGGUGACAAAUCGGAGGAAGGUGGGGAUGACGUCAAAUCAUCAUGCCCCUUAUGACCUGGGCUACACACGUGCUACAAUGGGCAGAACAAAG